CCUACGGGCGGCAGCAGUGGGGAAUAUUGGACAAUGGGCGAAAGCCUGAUCCAGCCAUGCCGCGUGUGUGAAGAAGGCCUUCGGGUUGUAAAGCACUUUCAGUGGGGAAGAAAGCCUUGGGGCUAAUACCCUCGAGGAAGGACAUCACCCACAGAAGAAGCACCGGCUAACUCCGUGCCAGCAGCCGCGGUAAUACGGAGGGUGCGAGCGUUAAUCGGAAUUACUGGGCGUAAAGCGCGCGUAGGCGGUCUGAUAAGCCGGUUGUGAAAGCCCCGGGCUCAACCUGGGAACGGCAUCCGGAACUGUCAGGCUAGAGUGCAGGAGAGGAAGGUAGAAUUCCCGGUGUAGCGGUGACAUGCGUAGAGAUCGGGAGGAACACCAGUGGCGAAGGCGGCCUUCUGGACUGACACUGACGCUGAGGUGCGAAAGCGUGGGUAGCAAACAGGAUUAGAUACCCCUGUAGUC
rnacentral:rRNA from 1 species